rnacentral:rRNA from 1 species
UACAGAGGUGGCAAGCGUUUGUUCGGAAUUACUGGGCGUAAAGGGCGCGUAGGUGGCCUUUUUGAGUCAGACGUGAAAUCCCCCCGGCUUUAACCUGGGAACUGCGUCUGAUACUGGAAGGCUUGAGUUCGGGAGAGGGAUGUGGAAUUCCAGGUGUAGCGGUGAAAUUCGUAGAUAUUCGGAGGAACACCAGUGGCGAAGGCGGCUCACUGGUCCAUUACUGACGCUGAGGUGCGAAAGCUAGGGGAGCGAACGGG